UCUGCCUGACAGAAUAAACGUGUCCCUUAUAGGGGAAUUCGGAACAAGUAUCGUGGUGAGAUGAACAGCUGGUAGUAAUACAUGCUAACCCUAGCUCCAUGUCAACAGUAGACACAUGCUAACCCUAGCUUGACACUAACACACUGACACCUUACACAUUGACACUUAAACCUGAACUUAAUGGAGGAACAACAACUCACCAGUGAAGAGCGGGAGGCUGGAAUAACAACCCAACUGCUGGACAGUUCCAGGGUAUCUUCCGCAAGCUCAUGUGUAGAUGUGGUGUCAAGCCUGUGGAUUCUGACAACAUGAGAGGACAGGAUGCCACUAUCACCAUGUCAGCUGACUACUACACCAGAGUCUCCCUUUCUGCUGCGGAGAUGUCCUCUGCAGAUGCCGCCACUGCUGAAGAGCUGGUUUCUCCAUUCCUGAACAUUUCUGCCCUUGUAGGGGACCACAGCUACCUCCCGACUCGCUUUGGUGGUCUAGUAGUCAACGCACUGGUCUACGUAGCUGGGUUCGUUGUCCGGUGUAUUUUCGCAGCCUGUCCUGUGAUGUAUGCCGUGCCAGCCUGGUGACAGAUGCUGUAUCUGUCCCAUUUGACCAGAGGGAACAGCGGGAACUACGGAAUAACGGUGGGCUGAUGAUUCCUUCUAAAGGAACUGUAAAGGUGGUGAGAGCUCCCGAGAGGGCAAUACGUCAACACUCUCCAGGGAAAGCCCCUGAUGAGGUUGUUGUAGCCCACUUUGUCAGAGAGGAAAUCGGGACAGAGGACGUCUUUGCACUGGGGAGCCAUGUCCAAGAAAGCCAGUUUGGCAUUGACAAUCACCUGUCCCUCCUGUCGCUGGUUGUUUCUGUCUUUAUGCGAAUGCGGCUGCAUCAUAUCGUCAAAUUAACCUCGCUUACCUGGCAGAGAGGAAAUUCCCGAAAAAAACACUGAAAAACCAUCCUGUUUCAAGGAUUUUGAAAACGACGUGUGUGUGUGUGUGUGUGUGUGUGUGUGUGUGUGUGUGUGUGUGUGUGUGUGUGUGUGUGUGUGUGUGUGUGUGUGUGUGUGUGUGUGUGUGUGUGUGUGUGUGUGUGUGUGUGGUACUAAAUGUAUAAUUGUAAACACUGUACCAAACUACAAGGAUUGUAUAAAUCAAUAAAAAGAAUGUAUGAAGUGUAAAUAUAGAGCAUCAAAUUAUAAAAAUAGACAUGUGUGUGUAUAUAGAUAUAUGGAUUGUAUAAAUAUAUAAAUUAUAAAAUAUAUAGUAUCUUAAGUUGUAUAUGUAUGGAUUGUAAGUAUCAGAAAUAAAUUAAAUUGCAUAUAGAUAUAUAAAAAUAUGAGGAACACAGGAAGUUUAUUUAUUAAAUAUUUAUUAUUGUGCUUUUCUUUUUGUUUUGUAUUUUUCAGGUUCAAUUUGUCUGAAAUAAAUUCAAUCAAUAGUUCCCGUUGUAUCCCAGUCUGGAGGGUUACUGGUUCUAGUCCAGUGUGAUGCAGUGUUAGAGUGGUUUGAGAGUUAAGAGCCAAAAAGCUAAAUGGAUAAGAAGAUAUAUACUUUU